AAAUAUUAGCUUGAUAUUUUGAUUUGCAAUUUAAAAGAUGGAUAUAACCUCCGAGUAUUUUGUGAAAACACAUUUUCGGUAUUGAUGCAUUAGGAGCAUGUCUUUAAUUCGAAGUGACCAUCGUUAUAUCUUUAUAUCAUUUUUUUACAUCGAUCUACAAGGAACCUGAAAUCCAUCAAUGUUACACAAACAAGUUUUGUUUGAAAAAUCUCACAUGAACAAAGAUCAAGGUUGUUAGAUGUUUUGCAUUGGAACUUGCUGUCUGGAGUAGCUGGAGUGGUCACGGGUCGACUGGAUAGAUUUAUGUUAUGGAUUUCUUGAUACUAUACUUUGGUUUUGAAACUGUUUAAUUUUGCUUCCGCUGAAUACUUUGGUUUUCACUUAAACUUGUUGAUGGUAUUCUAUUAAUAAUUAAGGAUUUUAUUUU
rnacentral:lncRNA from 1 species